UACGAAGGGGGCUAGCGUUGUUCGGAUUUACUGGGCGUAAAGCGCACGUAGGCGGAUUGUUAAGUCAGGGGUGAAAUCCCAGAGCUCAACUCUGGAACUGCCUUUGAUACUGGCAAUCUCGAGUCCGGAAGAGGUGAGUGGAACUCCUAGUGUAGAGGUGGAAUUCGUAGAUAUUAGGAAGAACACCAGUGGCGAAGGCGGCUCACUGGUCCGGAACUGACGCUGAGGUGCGAAAGCCAGGGGAGCGAACGGG
rnacentral:rRNA from 1 species